UCCUUAGCUCAAUGGAUCAGUGUCUGGCUCCCACUCAGGAGGUCCAGAGUUCGACUCCUCGAAGGCUGAU